rnacentral:rRNA from 1 species
GACGAACGCUGGCGGCGUGCCUAAUACAUGCAAGUAGAACGCUGAAGAGAGGAGCUUGCUCUUCUUGGAUGAGUUGCGAACGGGUGAGUAACGCGUAGGUAACCUGCCUUGUAGCGGGGGAUAACUAUUGGAAACGAUAGCUAAUACCGCAUAACAAUGGAUGACACAUGUCAUUUAUUUGAAAGGGGCAAUUGUUCCACUACAAGAUGGACCUGCGUUGUAUUAGCUAGUAGGUGAGGUAAUGGCUCACCUAGGCGACGAUACAUAGCCGACCUGAGAGGGUGAUCGGCCACACUGGGACUGAGACACGGCCCAG